UGAGGCGAUAAGACAUGAUAAUGAUCCUUAUUCAUCUUUUAGGUGAGUAUAUGUCGAUUUGUUGUAAGGGUCGGUUGGUAUUUUAUUUGGACCUGGUCAAGAGUCGAGUACUGUCCGGUAGUGUCGUUAGUAUGAUUAGUUUGUCUUUUGAUUUGGACUAGUUUAUUUGCAUUGAUGGGUUUUUGUAUGUAAAUCUAUUUCUGUUUAUAUAUAUUUUUUAUUAUCAGUACUUCGUACUUCUUUUUGUGGGGAGGAACUGUCACAGGGUGACUUUGUUUACUCACAUAUAUGUUGUUAUUUUGGUUGUUAAUUCUAUUUCGAUUUGCAGAACGUCAGUAUCUUAUAAAUGCUAUAUUCUGCAGACUUCGGUGUAUAAUACAUGUCCACAUUUUACAUCUAAUUAAUUAAGUAGUGUCCACUAUUUACUUGGGCAUUUACCUGUAAACUUGUCGAACGGGUUGAGUAACAGUGAUACCUGUAUUUGAUGAGCUGACUAUUCACUCUCGGGUAACACCUUAACGAGUCAAGGUGUGGUCAGAAAUGUUUGUAUAAAGUUAGUUUACAAUGUGGCGUGGACACACACACUGGAUUUCUGAGGUCCCAGUUUGCGGGCUAGGUGUAUGUAGUUUUGUAUAGUAAAGUAUGGAGAUAUAGUACAGAUGGUGGUGAAACAUGUUGACAGUGCGGCGUUCCGUGUUUAUCAUCAAUAGUUUGGCAACAUAGAAUAUUUGGAGUCGAGUCUAGACAAUAGGGCAGCCGUAAUGUGUACACCGCUUAUGUUGGGCCAGUUUUGUGUAGUUACCGAAAACCAAAUACGUAAAAUUCCGUAGUAUCGUUUAUCCAGAUUUCAUAGUUUAAUAUAAAGAAGAAGGAACAGUUCAUUAAACAUUUGACAGUAUUAUUUCAUUUGAUUUCAUCUAUUUAUAUUUGUAAAUUUGUACCUAAUUAAAUUGUUAUUUUGUUUAAA